GAGAUGUAGAGCGACGGGUAAAUUCAGAGCAAGUCGUAGAAGCGCGAUAGAAUUGACUUUUAAUCAGUAGGUCGCUGGUUCGAACCCAGCAGGGCUCACCA
rnacentral:tRNA from 1 species